rnacentral:piRNA from 1 species
UGGGUAUGACUUGCUGAGCACAGCAUUUAUAC